rnacentral:rRNA from 1 species
CACGUAGGGCGCAAGCGUUGUCCGGAAUUAUUGGGCGUAAAGAGCUCGUAGGCGGUUUGUCGCGUCGACUGUGAAAACCUGGGGCUUAACUCUGGGCCUGCAGUCGAUACGGGCAGACUUGAGUUCGGUAGGGGAGACUGGAAUUCCCGGUGUAGCGGUGAAAUGCGCAGAUAUCGGGAGGAACACCUAUGGCGAAGGCAGCUCGCUGGGACGUUACUGACGCUGAGACGCGAAAGCGUGGGGAGCAAACAGG